GGCGGGUAGCCGCUAUGCGGGAGGCGGGGACAGCGCUUCCGGACCAGGUCAGGCAGAGGGUAGAAGUCCAGUGCUCUCGGAUUCUGGGCACUGAAGGGUGGAGAGCGAGGUAAAGUGGGAACUCGGCCUGGAAUUUAUUCCCGGUCUCAGAGGGCGGCGGUGAGACCAUUUUCCUGGGUCGGGACUGAGAAUCCUGCCCUGGAGCCCUAACUUCUGCCUCUUCAGUUGCAUCUGCCGCUGUUCUCUUUAAGGCAUGCUUAGUCUGUCUCUAUUUGUCCAGUAUCAAGAGGAUGCAUCCGAUAUGAAGGACAUGUCCAAAUACAAACCUCACAUUCUGCUGUCCCAAGAGAACACACAGAUUAGAGACUUGCAACAGGAAAAUAGAGAGCUGUGGAUUUCCUUGGAGGAACACCAGGAUGCUUUGGAACUCAUCAUGAGCAAGUAUCGGAAACAGAUGUUACAGUUAAUG
rnacentral:sRNA from 1 species